CACAGGGAAUCUCUACCGUACUUCUCUGUCUCUUGGCAUCUGUUUCCUCUUCCUUCUCUGUGUUUUUGCCCUAAUUGUUCUCAGUUUCAAUCAAUCUCUCUGCAAAAUUUUCUUUCCACCAACGAUGAAGAACCGAGCUGGAAAAGACGAAGAACAGACUCGCUCGAAGUCGAAGUUCACGAAGGGUAAUAAACACAAGAACAUGAAACGAUUGGGAGGGAAGGGCCCUUCGCCCCAGGCGUUCGCAAAUGCGAAAUCAACUACUGAUUACUAUAAUCCAGCUUUUAUAAAAAAGCAAAGAGAGUUCUAUAAGAAUGCUAAACAUGUCAACAAGUAUAAGAAGUUGGUAAAGCAUCAGAAUAAUCAGAAUGAGAGGCCAUCUAACUCAACUGUUGGACUUGUCGAGGGUGAAAAUGAAAUGAAAUUCGAGAAUCGGACGAAUGGAAGACGUGGGAACGAAAGGAAUAAAGGCGUACCUAGUCUCCAGGGACUGUAUGAGAGAAAGCAUCAAGAGAAGGAGAAAGCAAGAAUGGAGAAAGAAGCCAUUAUUGCUGCAAAAAAGGAAGAACGAGAAAGAGCUAAAGCUAGAAGAAACUCCACGAGGGAGAAAAUGUUCAAAAGGACACAAAAAGGGCAGCCAGUUAUGAAGUACCGAAUUGAGCAUCUUUUGGAGACCAUUGGCGCCUCAAUGAACCACUGAGGACUUUGUGAAACAAAAUUUUGUUCGCUUUAGUGUUAUUUUUAUGGCGUUCAUCAACGUGUAGGAGAGGGGAGACUCAAACUUUGAUCCCUUCAUAUAAGAUAGAUCUACAUACACACAAACACAAAUUGUUCGAAUGCUCGAGAUGCAUCAAUCACGAGCAAGUUCCAAUAGAAUUGGAAUGGCAUGUUUGGGAUGAAAAUACUCAGCAUCGCAAGACGGUUUUAUUCGAGAAGGAAUGGGUAAAUUCUAAAUGAAACCGUUAAUCCUAUAAGAUUAUCCAACAUAUUACAAUUACCGUAUUAAAGAUGAUUCUCAAGGUGAAUCUACAAACAAAGAUUUAUACCGUACAAGAACCGAACUUGGAAGCUUUGGGACUAUUCGAUCAGAGUCGAAUCUCAAGGCAAACAACACAGUACAUAAGCUCGGCGUGGUUGAGGCUGGCAGAUGACCAUGAGGGUGAGAGCUAUAACAAUAGCCAGCAGAAGUCCCAUAAGAUUCAAUCCAUCGGCAUCAUCACCGGUAGAGCAACAGUGCUUCCCCAUCAGAUUUACAGAGCAAAAAAACCAGUUUCCUUCCCUAAAAAAAAAAAAAAAAGCCUCAAAAUUGAGCCUCUUGAACCCUUUCCUCUCGUCAAUAUAAAGUGUCUCAAGUCAAGUCUUUGUGUUAAGUCUUUAUAAAGCUCUUUGAUUCUUCUCCCUGUACUUAAUGGGGCAGUUGGGUCGUUUUUGUUUGUUCAGAUUAGUGAAGGACAAAAAUGUAAAAAUGUCACAUUCUUUUCGUCGAAAGUUUAUC